rnacentral:lncRNA from 1 species
CCGUAUAUUACACUUUUGAAGAAGCACCCAACACUCUCAGCAGCCACUGCAAUGGCUCUCACCACCACUCGAGUCUCUGCAACACUAUCACCAAAUCACCAUACACAUCCCAUUUUUGGGAAGGGCCAAAAAUGAUUUUUGGGAAGGGCCAGAAUGGGAUGCUUUUGGCUUCUUCAUUCAGUAUUUGUGGGCUUUUGGUAUCCUUUUCCGGUAUUUCUCUCUCUUAGAUUUCUUGUUUAAUUAAUGAUUUAUCAUGAAUUUGUUUAAUGAGCUUUUGGUUUGAUGUUCCAAAAUGGGUUUUUAGUAAGUGUUUCACAAUCACUUACUAAAAACAAGAUUUGUAACUGAAAUAGGCUGAUUAAUGUAAUAAGAAUGCAUUGAAAAGAGUUUUUUUUUAAGAAAAAAACAAAUUCAGUCUCUCUAGAAUGUGGAGUGCUCGAACUAUUUCCAGUAAGAGAACUGCUAAAAGAGAGAAUAAAAGUUUGGCAACUAUUGACUAGUAGGUACCAUGACUUCUUUCAUGAGCAAGGACACAUUCAAUUUUAUGUAAUCAUGUUAGAUGUUAAUCCUCUUCAAAUAGUAAAAGGUCUGAAAUCAGAGUAUUUAGUAAAUUAAGUACUAUAUUAUUUGUCAAAAAAUUGCUUUUUGAUAAUGCCUUGUUUCUUUGAUAAAGCAUUAAAUUAUUGCCUAAACCAAUAAAACUUCAAUACCUUUAAUAAAUAAAAUUUAAUAAGCAAUUCGUUAAUAAUAAAUUUAUUCAAGGUGUAAUUGAUUUCAAUAGAAAUAAAAUACAUAGACAUGUCAUAAGCAACAAUAGAAGACUAUAUUAUGAUUUCUUAGAAAACUUUAAUUAGUUUGAAACUUAGAACUCAGAACUUAAAACUCAAACAUAUAAUGUUUAUUAUCAGCAUAGACAAAGCUACCACCACGCACAAGUGAAUCUGUGUCUUAAAAUUCAUAUAUGCAUUUUUGUGAAAGCCAAGUCCCAUAAUACUUGAUCUGGGCGUCACCAUAACCAUUGGGGAAGCUGAAAUCACAAGCAAAAGAGCAUGUCAAGAAAUUUGAUUUAGAAAACAGAAAUUAAUCUUCCUAACUAGACUUUUAAAAAAUAUUAAAUUACAAUUUAAUAUUCCAGAAAAUAAGGUUCUGUUUGGACAUCCCUAUAUAUGUAUACACACACAUUAUAAGCACGUUCAAGGGUAACAAAAGAUGGUUAAAUGACGCAUUUUAUGAGGUCUGAGCAAGUCAGCUUACCGGCAACAAUAGAAUUGGUUUUGGUACCAAAGGAAAUCUGAGAAGCAGGUGAGGUAGGAGGCAAAGGAGCCCCUUCACAAAACACAAUAUCAAUAAUAUAUUAUUGCAUUUAGCAUAUUUGUUUAGCAUCUAAAAAAUGUACAAAAUAGAUUUCAGAGGAAAAUGUGAAACUAUGAUACUGUACACUAUAUAUAUAUAUAUAUAUAUAUAUAUAUAUAUAUAUAUAUAUAUAUAUAUAUAUAUAUGUUGAGGAAGUGUGAACCUGAACAAAUCGAGAUGUCAACUUGGAGAUGGCAUAGAAGUGGGAGCUGUAGAGCAAGUGUGAUUGAUAGGGAAAGAACUUAAAGUAGACUCAUUCAGCAAGAGGCAAAGACAACCAGCUUGCUGGGUGUAGAUAUGUUAUAGGUUAUCGCAACACGUUUGUGCGGGAGAGGGCACUCUACCCUGAACAAAUGGUGCGC